rnacentral:rRNA from 1 species
GGAUUCCCCUAGUAACUGCGAGUGAAGCGGGAAAAGCUCAAAUUUGAAAUCUGGCGGUUUUUAACUGUCCGAGUUGUAAUCUAGAGAAGUGUUACCUGUGCUGGACCGUGUACAAGUCUCCUGGAAUGGAGCAUCAUAGAGGGUGAGAAUCCCGUCUUUGACAUGGACUACCAGUACAUUAUGGUGUGCUCUCAAAGAGUCGAGUUGUUUGGGAAUGCAGCUCAAAAUGGGUGGUAAAUGCCAUCUAAAGCUAAAUAUUGGCGAGAGACCGAUAGCGAACAAGUACCGUGAGGGAAAGAUGAAAAGAACUUUGGAAAGAGAGUUAAACAGUACGUGAAAUUGCUGAAAGGGAAACGCUUGAAGUCAGUCGCGUUGGCUAGAAAUCAGCCUUGCUUUUGCUUGGUGUACUUUCUGGUUGACGGGUCAGCAUCAAUUUUGACCAUUGGAUAAAGUCUUUGGGAAUGUGGCAUCCUUGGAUGUGUUAUAGCCCAUUGUCGCAUACAGUGGUUGGGAUUGAGGAACUCAGCACGCCUGCAAGGGCCGGGUUUCGACCACGUUCGUGCUUAGGAUGCUGGCAUAAUGGCUUUAAUCGACCCGUCUUGAAACACGGACCAAGGAGUCUAACAUGCCUGCGAGUGUUUGAGUGGAAAACUCAUGCGCGCAAUGAAAGUGAAAGUUGAGAUCCCUGAAAGGGGAGCAUUGACGCCCGGACCAGACCUUUUGUGACGGAUCCGCGGUAGAGCAUGUAUGUUGGGACCCGAAAGAUGGUGAACUAUGCCUGAAUAGGGUGAAGCCAGAGGAAACUCUGGUGGGAGGCUCGUAGCGAUUCUGAAGUGCAAAUCGAUCGUCAAAUUUGGGU